rnacentral:rRNA from 1 species
AGUGAACGCUGGCGGUAGGCCUAACACAUGCAAGUCGAACGGCAGCACAGGAGAGCUUGCUCUCUGGGUGGCGAGUGGCGGACGGGUGAGGAAUACAUCGGAAUCUACUCUGUCGUGGGGGAUAACGUAGGGAAACUUACGCUAAUACCGCAUACGACCUACGGGUGAAAGCAGGGGACCUUCGGGCCUUGCGCGAUUGAAUGAGCGGAUGUCGGAUUAGCUAGUUGGCGGGGUAAAGGCCCACCAAGGCGACGAUCCGUAGCUGGUCUGAGAGGAUGAUCAGCAAGACUGGAACUGAGACACGGUCCAGACUCCUACGGGAGGCAGCAGUGGGGAAUAUUGGACAAUGGGCGCAAGCCUGAUCCAGCCAUACCGCGUGGGUGAAGAAGGCCUUCGGGUUGUAAAGCCCUUUUGUUGGGAAAGAAAUCCAGCUGGCUAAUACCCGGUUGGGAUGACGGUACCCAAAGAAUAAGCACCGGCUAACUUCGUGCCAGCCGCCGCCGUAA